GACGAACGCUGGCGGCGUGCUUAACACAUGCAAGUCGAACGGAAAGGCCCUGCUUUUGUGGGGUGCUCGAGUGGCGAACGGGUGAGUAACACGUGAGUAACCUGCCCUUGACUUUGGGAUAACUUCAGGAAACUGGGGCUAACCGGAUAGGAGCUCCUGCUGCAUGGUGGGGGUUGGAAAGUUUCGGCGGUUGGGGAUGGACUCGCGGCUUAUCAGCUUGUUGGUGGGGUAGUGGCUUACCAAGGCUUUGACGGGUAGCCGGCCUGAGAGGGUGACCGGCCACAUUGGGACUGAGAUACGGCCCAGACUCCUACGGGAGGCAGCAGUGGGGAAUAUUGCACAAUGGGCGGAAGCCUGAUGCAGCAACGCCGCGUGCGGGAUGACGGCCUUCGGGUUGUAAACCGCUUUCGCCUGUGACGAAGCGUGAGUGACGGUAAUGGGUAAAGAAGCACCGGCUAACUACGUG
rnacentral:rRNA from 1 species